GUAGGGAAUCUUGCGCAAUGGGCGAAAGCCUGACGCAGCCAUGCCGCGUGAAUGAUGAAGGUCUUAGGAUUGUAAAAUUCUUUCACCGGGGACGAUAAUGACGGUACCCGGAGAAGAAGCCCCGGCUAACUUCGUGCCAGCAGCCGCGGUAAUACGAAGGGGGCUAGCGUUGCUCGGAAUUACUGGGCGUAAAGGGCGCGUAGGCGGACAGCUUAGUCAGAGGUGAAAGCCCAGGGCUCAACCUUGGAAUUGCCUUUGAUACUGGCUGUCUUGAGUUUGGGAGAGGUGAGUGGAACUCCGAGUGUAGAGGUGAAAUUCGUAGAUAUUCGGAAGAACACCAGUGGCGAAGGCGACUCACUGGCCCAAUACUGACGCUGAGGCGCGAAAGCGUGGGGAGCAAACAGGAUUAGAAACCCCUGUAGUCC
rnacentral:rRNA from 1 species